AUUGAACGCUGGCGGCAUGCCUUACACAUGCAAGUCGAACGGCAGCACGGGGCAACCUGGUGGCGAGUGGCGAACGGGUGAGUAAUGCAUCGGAACGUGCCAUUGAGUGGGGGAUAACGUAGCGAAAGUUGCGCUUAUACCGCAUAUUCUGUGAGCAGGAAAGCAGGGGACCGCAAGGCCUUGCGCUCUUUGAGCGGCCGAUGUCAGAUUAGCUAGUUGGUGAGGUAACGGCUUACCAAGGCGACGAUCUGUAGCGGGUCUGAGAGGAUGAUCCGCCACACUGGAACUGAGACACGGUCCAGACUCCUACGGAGGCAGCAGUGGGGAAUUUUGGACAAUGGGCGCAAGCCUGAUCCAGCCAUGCCGCGUGAGUGAAGAAGGCCU
rnacentral:rRNA from 1 species